AUGAAUACACUGGACGCUCUCUUUAGAGGUCCGACCCUUCAUUACCUUCACACUGUGCACACACUUCAUUUUUACACCCAUUUUUAAACACUAUAGUAUAAGAAUGUACCAGUCUCUUAAUUGAGCAUAAAUAUAUAAUA
rnacentral:misc_RNA from 1 species